rnacentral:misc_RNA from 1 species
GUCUGCUAUAACAUUGAACACAGUGCACUCAGUUGGUCGCUCUGGGAUGACGAUAUGUAUAGGGAUCCAGAAAGGUGGAUUUGCAUUUGAACUUGGAAUCCUUGCACAUGUUUCAGACGCACAAGCUAUUGCAUUUAGCUUUCCACACCAAGCAACAGCACUGAAAUUGCGGCAAAGUUCAGGAACACUCAUUUUAUGAAGCAAAUUUGACCUAGGUUGUUUGAGCCUAAUACAAAAGACGACAGCAGGAUUGACAGUAUCCUCAUCCAUGGGAUCAUCGUCAACAGAAGAGACCUCCUUCUCCGUCACCAUAGCCACAAUUGCAGCAGGAUGAUCGUCGUCGUCGUCUUCAAUAAUGAUAUCCGGUUUCUCGUGAACCUUAUUAGUAGAAGGUUCUAGAGAAUUGGUAAUCACAGAAGAAGACUCUUCCUCCUUCUCCACUUCAGUAUCUUUAGCAACAGGUGGUUGUUGAUUGUUCAUUUGAAUAAACCAAAAAGGCCCAAAAACCCUAAUAUAUAAUAUAAUUAUAUAUGUAUACGUAUAUAGUGAGAGAAAGGCAGAGAGAGGGGUUAGAGAGAGAAGUGGUUGGCCGAAAAAAA